rnacentral:misc_RNA from 1 species
GUAUAUAGUUUAUAGGCAACAAGGCCCAAUAAUAACAUUCUAUUACAUUUUUAUGGUGUAUAUGAAAACAUAGACCUGAAACUCCAAGGGAAGCUGACAGUGAUGCACAGCAGUCCCUCUAAACGAGUUGCCUCGGAAAAAAUUUCAGAUCUACAAAAUGUGCACAGGUGGAAAGAUAAAGAUGACGGAUGUGCACAUGUCCUCGAGAGAACCAGCAACAAUCACGCCAGGUUUAUUCAAUAAUGAUCCUUCCGCAGGUUCACCUACGGAAA